AAGCUGUUUAUCAAAACUCUAAAAGUGACUAAUGACGCGGCUGAGAGAGGAAUUAAGUUGUUGUUCCGAUUAUCUCCAAAUACUUACAAAGGACGAGGCUGUACGAAACGAAGUUUUUAACGUGGUUGAAAAUCACAGAAAAGUUGUAGGCAAUUGUAAUAAGAAGCAAUUAUUCGUUGAUUUAGCUGAGUAUAAAUAAUAACCGCUUUUUUAUUA